AGUAAAAUGCCUGAAAUUAAAGGAUUAUCUUGAUAGGAUAAAUUAUGUGCAAACACUUUUACUA
rnacentral:tRNA from 1 species